CUGAUGACCAGCUGCAGAGAGCAGCUACGGUUGUCAGGAGUUCGAGACCAGCCUGGCCAAUAUGGGGAAACCCUGCCUCUACUGAAAAUACAAAAAUUAGCUGGGUGUGGUGGCAGGCGCCUGUAAUCCCAGCUACUCGGGAGGCUGAGGCGUGAGAAUUGAGAAUCCCUUGAACCCUGGAGGUGGAGGUUGCAGUGAGCCGAGAUGGGCCACUGCACUCCAGCCUGGGUGAAAGAGCGAGACUCAGUCUCGGAAAAAAAAAAAAAAAAAAAAAAUAGAGACGACCUACCCUCUCUGCCGUUAGAGGGGACAAGACUACCAGCUGCAGGGGAACUACCCUCUCCAGGGCCUCCUCUGAGCUGUUUUAACACUCAGUAAAGCUCCUCUUGGUCUUGUUCACCCCACUGACUGCGAACCUCAUUCUUCCUGGAUGCAGGACAAGAACUCAGGCAAAGGUGCCACCAACCACAGAGGUUUCUGUCAGGAAAAGUGACACUGCAAAGCUCCCGUAACAGAAGUAGUAAAAGUACUCCAGUUUCUUCCCACAUCCUGAAGAUGUGUAUUUCAGGUGGGUGGGCAUGUGUCAGCGAUCUCAGUCAAGGUGAGUGUGGGUAUAUGUAUGAGUGUGCCCUGUGUUGGGAUGGUGUCAUGGCCAGGGUUGCUUCCCACCUUGUAUCCUGAACUGCUGAAUGGGCUUUGGCCUCCUGUAACCUGAACUGGAGUAAGUGGGUUGGAAAAUGAAAGAAUAAAUGAAUACAAAUUAUUAUAAGAUAAAAUAUAAAGUAUUUGAUAAUCAUACAAAUGCAAAAUAAUAAGAAAUGUUGUAUGAAAGUGCUUAGAGAGUCUGCCUUAUUGAAUAUUGUUUGUUUUUGAACUGUGUGUUGGUAGGAGGUACUCCUGACAAUUUUCACUUUACAAACAUUUAUUUCUUGAUUUAACCUACCACCAGGAUGACGGCUGUCACUCACUGAUUCACCAAAAAUUGGACAAAUUGCUUACUUAUUUUUGUUGAUUUUUCUUAAAUGUAUGUAUAGCUUACAUUUAUAUCAAUAUUCAACAUUAGAAGUGUUUCAAGUCUUCACUUAGAAAUUUGUUGAUGUUUUUGUGAUACAAAUAUGCCAUAGGAACUAAUUCUUGUUUAUAUUAAUUAGCCUAUAGUAAAACUGGUUUUGUUACAUGGCAUCUCACUUGAAGUUGAAGUUUCCAAGACCCUAUCAACAACGUUGAGAACUUACUGUCAUAGGUUGAAAAACUGUACACCAGGAACCGGACCAAAAUAGAUCUGACAGUAAUAUUGAUAUUAGAAAACAACUUUAAGUCUAAUAAUGAUUUUUCUCUAAAGAGGUUGAUUACUUCAUGAUAGAAGGAUCAUGUCACCAUGAUGACACAGACUGUUAGUGCACAUCAAUAUCCAUUUUGUCCUCUUCUUUUUUGGCAUACAACCAAAACUUACAUAGGCUUUUUAUCAUUUUACUGGGCCUAUGUAACUGAGUUUUAGCCAGUGGAAUAUGUCCAAGUGACAUUUGCCACUUCUAGGUCUGGCACAUUAACACUUGAUGUAUUACAUUUCAGACCCUCUUAUCAUUCUGCAGUGUGUUUGGCGAUCUGUUGUUUAAGAUCUAUAUGCACUGGUUACUGUUGCUUGCCUUCCAUUCCUACCCUUACUAAUCAGAUUCCUAUUAUAGCUACUUCUGUCCUUGAUUCAUUUUGUAUAUUAGAUGUGUGUGUGUUCAUGUGCAUGCAUGCACCCUCACAUGUAGGUGUAUAUGGGAGUGGUGGUAAAGACAGGAUAUUUCUUCAGUUCAUGGGAUUUUAUUUCAGGAGAAUUCAAACAUUCACGUAUUGGAGAAGAUGACACAUUUCUUGAAUGUCUUGGGCUUUGAGCUGAAUGCACUAACUAGAAGGGACUUCAGAUUGUCCUCCUUCGGGGGAGGUAAGUAUAUUCUUCAUAUACAGGUAAGAGUGAAAUGAUAGAAGAAUGUUCCUCCUCUCCUUUUCUUCCUGGACAACAGAUCAAAUAUUUCUCAGAUCUUUUACAGCUGAAUUGGAGUCACAUGGACAGGUAUGAUCUUAAAAUAUAAAAAAUUAUUUUAAAAUUACAUGCUAAAAUUUUAUAAAAAUAAAUGCUAAAACUAACUUAAACGGAAGCAUUUGAUUAAAAAAUUUAUCCAAAAAAGUUUGAAUUUUAUAUGAAACAGGAUAGAAGAUGAAAAAGCUAAAGAAAUAAAAUAUAAAUAAAUUAUGGCUGGGGACAGUGGCUCACACCUGUAAUCCCAGCACUUUGGGAGGCUGAGGUGGGAGGACUGAUUGAGGCUAGGAGUUUGAGACCUGUUAUUUGAGGCACAUGGGAAGGAAAGUUUUCUUUGAGAUAUUCCACAUUUUAUAAUAUUCUUCAAGAGAUUUACAGAGUUCCUUGAGUGAAUUGUUGGUUUGUUCUUAAUACUGAAUUUCCUAUUCAAAUUUAUUUAGAAGUUCAUUUCUUACAGUGAUCUCAUCUCCUAUUAAGAUAUUCUUCAAGGUAGGUUCUUGGCCAGUUUCUCAAUGACAGAUUUUUAAAAAUAUUGUUAAUCUUUUUAUUAAUAUGAGAACAUAAUUGUUCCAGAUCUGGAGGCCAUCCUUUAAGCUUCUUGCAACAGUCUGGGAGCAAAGAGUUUACUCGCCACUGGGUAGUGGGCCAUGGACACCCCAGUCUCCACCAGAAGUUCGGGAUUGCAAAAUGGGACUCUGGCAGCAAAUUUCAAACUGUAUGCCAGACCUGGCCCUUUGCAGUGAUAUAAAAUUUUUCUUGAGGUGUCUGGAAAGAUGGCUGAAUAGGAACAGCUCUGCUCUGCAGCUCCCAGCGAGAUCAACGCAGAAGGAGAUAAUUUCUGCAUUUCCAACUAAAGUACCCAGCUCAUCUCAUUGGGACUGGUUAGACAGUGGGUGCAGCCCACAGAAGGCAAGCAGAAGCAGGGUGGGGUGUUGCCUCACCCGGGAAGCGCAAGGGGUCAGGGAACUCCCUCCCCUAGCCAAGGGAAGCUGUGAGGGACUGUGCCGUGAGGAACGGGGCAUUCCGGCACAGAUACUAUGCUUUCCCCACGGUCUUUGCAACCCACAGACCAGGAGAUUCCCUUGGGUGCCUGCACCACCAGGGCCCUGGGUUUCAAGCAAAAAACUGGGCAGCCAUUUGGGCAGACACUGAGCUAGCAGCAGGAGUUUUUUUCAUACCCUAGUAGCCCCUAGAAUGCCAGCGAGACAGAACUGUUCACUCCCCUGGAAAGGGGCACUGAAGCCAGGGAGCCAAGUGGUCUAGCUCAGCAGAUCCCACCCCCACGGAGCCCAACAAGCUAAGACCCACUGGGUUGAAAUUCUCGCUGCCAGCACAGCAGUCUGAUGUCCACCUGGAAUGCUUGAGCUUGGUGCAGGGAGGGGCGUCUGCCAUUACUGAGGCUUGAUUAGGCAGUUUCCCCCUCACAGUGUAAACAAAGCUGCUGGGAAGUUUGAACUGGGUGGAGCCCACUGCAGCUCGGCAAAGUUGCUGUAGCAAGAGUGUCUCUCUAGAUUCCUCCUCUCUGAGCAGGGCAUCUCUGAAACAAAGGCAGCAGCCCCAGUCAGGGACUUAUAGAUAAAACUCCCAUCUCCCUGGGACAGAGCACCUGGGGGAAGGGGCAGCUGUGGGCACAGCUUCAGGACACUUAAACGUUCCUGCCUGCUGGCUCUGAAGAGAGCAGCAGAUCUCCCAGCACAGUGCUCAAGUUCUGCUAAGGGACAGACUGCCUCCUCAAGUGGGUCCCUGACCCCUGUGCCUCCGGAGUGGGAGAGACCUUCCAGCAGGGGUCAACAGACAUCUGGUGGGUGCCCGUCUGAGACGAAGCUUCCAGAGGAAGGAACAGGCAGCAAUCUGUGCUGUUCUGUAGCCUGCGCUGGUGAUACCCAGGUAAACAGGGUCUGGAGUGGAUCUCCAACAAACUCCAGCAGACCUGCAGCAGAGGGGCCUGACUGUUAUAAGGAAAACUAACAAACAGAAAGGAAUAGCGUCAACAUCAACAAAAAGGACAUCCACACAAAAACCCCAUCCGAAGGUCACCAGCAUCAAAGACCAAAGGUAGAUAAAUCCAUGAAGAUGAGGAAAAACCAGUGCAAAAAGGCUGAAAAUUCCAAAAACCAGAACACCUUUUCUCCUGCAAAGGAUCACAACUCCUUGCCAGCAAGAGAACAAAACUGGAUGGAGAAUGAGUUUGACGAAUUUACAGAAGGAGGCUUCAGAAGGUGGGUAAUAACAAACUCCUCUGAGCUAAAGGAGCAUGUUCUAACCCAAUGCAAGGAAGCUAAAAAUGAAAAAAGGCUGGAGGAAUUGCUAACUAGAAUAACCACUUUAGAGAAGAACAUAAAUGAUCUGAUGGAGCUGAAAAACACAGCACGAGACCUUCGUGAAGCAUACAGAAGUAUCAAUAGCUGAAUCGAUCAAGCAGAAGAAAGGAUAUCAGAGAUUGAAGAUCAACUUAAUGACAUAAAGUGUGACGUCAAGAUUAGAGAAAAAAAGAAUGAAAAGGAACGAACAAAGCCUCCAAGAAAUAUGGGACUAUGUGAAAAGACCAAACCUAUGUUUAAUUGAUGUACCUGAAAGUGCUGGGGAGAAUAGAACCAAGUUUGAAAACACUCUUAGGAUAUUAUCCAGGAGAACUUCCCCAACCUAGCAAGACAGGCCAAUAUUCAAAUCAGUAAAUACAGAGAACACCACAAAGAUACUCCUCGAGAAGAGCAACCCCAAGACACAUAAUCAUCAGAUUCACCAAGGAUGAAAUGAAGAAAAAAAUGUUAAGGGCAGCCAGAGAGAAAGGUCGGUUUACUCACAAAGGGAAGCCCAUUAAACUAAUAGCAGAUUUGUCUGCUGAAACCCUACAAGCCAGAAUAGAGUGGGGGGCCAAUAUUUAACAUUCUUAAAGAAAAGAAUUUUCAGCCCAGAAUUUCAUAUCCAGCCAAACUAAGCUUCAUUAGCAAAGAAGAAAUAAAAUCCUGAGAGACAAGCAAAUGCUGAGCGAUUUUGUCACCACCAGGCCUGCCUUACAAGAGCUCCAGAAGGCAGCACUAAACACAUAAAGGAAAAACCAGUACCAGCCACUGCAAAAACAUAACAAACUAUAAAGACCACCGACACUAUGAAGAAACUGCAUCAACUAACAGGCAAAAUAACCAACUAGCAUCAUAAUGACAGGAUCAGAUUAACACAUAACAAUAUUAACCUUAAAUGCAAACGGGCUAAAUGCCACAAUUAAAAGACACAGACUGGCAAAUUGGAUAGAGUCAAAAUCCAUCAUUGUGCUGUAUUCAGGAGACCCAUCUCACGUGCAAAGACACACAUAGGCUCAAAAUAAAGGGAUGGAGGAAUAUUUACCAAGCAAAUGGAAAGGAAAAGAAAAAAAGCAGGGGUUGCAAUCCUAGUCUCUCAUAAAACAGACUUUAAACCAACAAAGAUAAAAAAAGACAAAGAAGGGCAUUACAUAAUGGUAAAGGGAUGAAUGCAACAAGCAGAGCUAACUAUUCUACAUAUAUAUGCACCCAAUACAGGAGCACCCAGAUUCAUAAAGCAAGUUCUUAGAGACCUACAAAGAGACUUAGACUCUCACACAAUAAUAAUGGGAGACUUUGACACUCCACUGUCAAUAUUAGACAGAACAAUGAGACAGAAAAUUAACAAGAAUAUUCAGGACUUAAACUCAGCUCUGGACCAAGCAGACCUACAGAACUCAGAACUUGAACUCAGCUUUGGACCAAGCAGACAUCUACACAACUCUCCACUUCAAAUCAACAGAAUAUACAUUCUUAGCAGCACCACAUCGCACUUAUUCUAAAAUUGACCACAUAAUUGGAAGUAAAACACUACACACCGAAUGCAAAAGAACGGAAAUCACAACAGUCUCUCAGACCACAGUGCAAUCAAAUUAGAACUCAGGAUUAAGAAACUUACUCAAAACCGCACAACUACAUGGAAACUGAACAACCUGCUCCUGAAUGACUACUGGGUAAAUAACGAAAUUAAGGCAGAAAUAAAUAAGUUUUUUGAAACCAAUGAGAACAAAGACACAAUGUACCAGAAUCUGUGGGACACAGCUAAAGCAAUGUUUGGAGAGAAAUGUAUAGCACUAAAUGCCCACAGGAGAAAGCAGGAAAGAUCUAAAGUCAACACCCUAACAUCACAAUUAAAAGAACUAGAGAAGCAAGAGCAAACAAAUUCAAAAGCUACCAGAAGACAAGAAAUAACUAAGAUCAGAGCAGAACUGAAGGAGAUAGAGACAUGAAAAACCCUUCAAAAAAAUCAAUGAAUCCAGGACCUGGUUUUUUGAAGAGAUUAACAAAAUAGAUAGAUCACUAGCCAGAAUAAUAAAAAAGAAAAGAAAGAAGAAUCAAAUAGACACAAUAAAAAAUGAUAAAGAGGAUAUCACCAUUGAUCCCACAGAAAAACAACCUACCAUCAGAGAAUACUAUAAACACCUCUAUGCAAAUAAACUAGAAAAUCUAGAAGAAAUGGACAAAUUCCUGGACACAUACACCCUUCCAAGGCUAAACCAGGAAGAAGUCAAAUCCCUGAAUAGACCAAUAAUAAAUUCUGAAAUUGAGGCACAAAAAAAUAAAAUUUCAGGCCAAUAUCCCUCAUAAAGAUCGAUGCAAAAAUCUUCAUUAAAAUACUGGCAAACAGAAUCCAGCAGCACAUCAAAAAGCUUAUCCACCACGAUCAAGUUGACUUCAUCCCUGGGAUGCAAGGCUGGUUCAACAUAUGCAAAAUAAUAAACAUAAUCCAUCACAUAAACAGAACCAAUGACAAAAACCACAUGAUUGAUUAUCUCAAGAGAUGCAGAAAAGGCCUUUGAUAAAAUUCAACACCCCUUCAUGCUAAAAGCUCUCAAUAAACUAGGUGUUGAUGGAACAUAUCUCAAAAUAAUAAGGGCUAUUUAUGACAAACCCACAGCUAAUAUCAUAUAGAAUGGGCAAAAACUGGAAGCAUUCUCUUUGAAAACCGGCACAAGACAAGGAUGCCCUCUCUCACCACUCCUAUUCAACAUAGUAUUGGACGUUCUGGCCAGGGCAAUCAGGCAAGAGAAAGAAAGAAAGAGUAUUCAAAUAGGAAGAGAGGAAGUCAAAUUGUCCCUGUUUGCAGAUGACAUGAUUGUAUAUUUAGAAAACCCCAUCGUCUCAGCCCAAAAUCUCCUUAAGCUGAUAAGCAACUUCAGCAAAGUCUCAGGAUACAAAAUCAAUGUGCAAAAAUCACAAGCAUUCCUAUACACCAAGAAUAGACAAGCAGAGAGACAAAUCAUGAGUGAACUCCCAUUCACAACUGCUACAAAGAUAAUAAAAUACCCAGGAAUACAACUCACAAGGGAUGUGAAGAACUACAAACAACUGCUCAAGGAAAUAAGAGAGUACACAAACAAAUGGAAAAACAUUCCAUGCUCAUGGAUAGGAAAAAUCAAUAUCAUGAAAAUGGCCAUACUGCCCAAAGUUAUUUAUAGAUUCAAUGCUAUCCCCAUCAAGCCAUGAUUGACAUUCCUCACAGAAUUAGAAAAAACUACUUUAAAUUUCAUAUGGAACCAAAAAAGAGUCCAAAUAGCCAAGACAAUCCUAAGCAAAAGGAACAAAACUGGAGGCAUCAUGCUACCUGACUUCAAACUAUACCACAAGGCUACAGUAACCAAAACAGCAUGGUACUGGUACCAAAACAGAUAUAUAGACCAAUGGAACAGAACAGAUGCAUCAGAAAUAAUGCUGCACAUCCACAACCAUCUGAUCUUUGAUAAAUCUGACAAAAACAAGAAAUGGGGAAAGGAUUCCCUAUUUAAUAAAUGGUGUUGGGAAAACUGGCUAGCCAUAUGCAGAAAACUGAAACUGGACCCCUUUCUUACAACUUAUACAAAAAUUAACUCAAGAUGGAUUAAAGACUUAAAUUUAAGACCUAAAACUAUAAAAACCUAGAAGAAAACCUAGGCAAUGCCAUUCAGGACAUAGGCAUGGGCAAAGACUUCAUGACUAAAAUGCCAAAAGCAAUGGCAACAAAAGCCAGUAGUGACAAAAGGGAUCUAAUUAAACUAAAGAGCUUCUGCACAGCAAAAGAAACUAUCAUCAGAGUGAACAGGAAACCUACAGAAUGGAAGAGAAUUUUCUAUCCAGCUGACAAAGGGCUAAUAUCCAGAAUCUACAAGGAACUUAAACACAUUUACAAGAAGAAAAACAACCCCAUCAAAACAUGAGUGAAGGAUAUGAACAGACACUUCUCAAAAGAAGACAUUUAUGUGGCCAACAAAUAUAUGAAAAAACACCUUAUCAACACUGGUUAUUAGAGAAAUGCAAAUCAAAAACCACAAUGAGAUACCAUCUCACGCCAGUUAGAUGGCAAUCAUUAAAAAGUCAGGAAACAACAGAUGCUGGAGAGGAUGUGGAGAAACAGGAAUGCUUUUACUCUUUUGGUGGGAGUGUAAAUUAGUUCAACCAUUGUGGAAGACAGUGUGGCGAUUCCUCAAAGAUCUAGAACCAGAAAUACCAUUUGACCCAGCAAUCCCAUUACUGGGUAUAUACCCAAAGGAUUAUAAAUAAUUCUACUAUAAAGACACAUGCACACGUAUGUUUAUUACAGCACUAUUUGCAAUAACAAAGACUUGAAACCAACCAGUUUAUCAAUGAUAAACUGGAUAAAGAAAAUGUGGCACAUAUACACCAUGGAAUACUAUGCAGCCAUAAAAAAGGAUGAGUUCUUGUCCUUUGCAGGGACAUGGAUGAAGUUGGAAACCAUCACUCUCAGCAAACUAACACAGGAACAGAAAACCAAACGCUGCAUGUUCUCACUUAUAAGUGGGAGUUGAACAAUGAGAACACAUGGACACAGGGAGGGGAAGAUCACACACCAGGGCCUGUUGCUGGGUGGGGGCAAAGGGAGGGAUAGCAUUCAGAGAAAUACCUAAUGUAGAUGGUUGACAGGUGCAGCAAACCACCAUGGCACAUGUAUACCUAUGUAACAAACCUGCAUGUUCUGCACAUGUAUCCCAGAAUUUAAAGUAUAAUAAAAAUUAUUUUUCUUUAUGUAAAUGUAUUAAGUAAAAACUGAAUCAAUUUCAGAAAAAGAUGAUAGUAUUGGUGAUACUAAGACGAGGCAAAAAGUGAAGAGGAGACAGAAAUGACUGAGGAUUGGCAAACAUUGGCAUAGAAUAAUAAGAAACUUGACCUAGUUGUCUGAAGGAGAUUCUGGCAACUAACUUAUUAGCUAACCUUGGGCCCAUCACUAAAUGAUUCUGGUUUCAGUUUUCAUAUCCUCUAAUUGAACAGUUUGAGCUAGAUAAUCUCUAAGAUAUUUUUUAGGAAUAAACUGCAGAAUAUAAUUAUAAUGUUAAUAAAGAUGAAGGUGAGGGUAAGAUUAAGAUAAAUUUUACUGGCUGGAAAUAUGUCUUCAGGCCAAUUAGAUUUUGUGCCUUUGAUUUUCAGGUGAGUCUCUCCAGAGGCACAGUGAUCAAGUCAGCUAAAUUUAUUAUUUGUGUAUUCCCUCUCUCUUUUUAUGACUUUUCCUUCUCCUUGGUCUCUUCUAAGUAGCCAAUUUCUGCUUGAUUCUCCAGUCUACCCAGAGAACUCUGAGGCCCCAACAGUCAUCCCAAUCUGAGGUUUCUAGGGUGGGUCUAACUUCUGUCUUUCUUACUGUUCUUUCUAAUCAGAGUGCACCUAUAUUGGUGAACUGGCACUAUUGGGACUAUUUCUGCCCCCAUACCUCCAUGUUUUUUUGUUUAGUUUUGUUUUUAAAGGAAUCCUCUAUGUUCCAAGCCUAAUCCUGAGGCAGUCCCAUCACAGCCUCCAGGUAUGGGAUGGCAAAAUAUUUGCCAGAAAUUCCCCCUGAUAAUUUUGGCAUUCAGUCAGGUUGUGCCUCUGAAAGACUCACUAUACAAUGUAAAGUAAGCCCAUUUUCCAUUCACAUAUUUAACUGUACUUUUCUCUUCUACAUUUUUAGUCAAAGAUUGAUUUUUGGUACAGGUAUUCAUACAAAUUCAGUCCACUUUCGACUGAGAUCAAUGUGGGUUUCCCAACUACAUUUUUUUUUUCAUCUAGCUAUGCUAUAUGUGAUUUUGUUUCUACCACAUUAGAGAGUUUUUAUUUCUUCUUGGUUGGCUGGCUUCCCAGUAGAUCCAGAUAUUGAAAAACAGGUUAGAUUAGUUUAGUCCAUGUCUGUCAAGCUCAAGUUCUUGAGGUGGAGGAAAUGAUUUAAAUAAAUCUCACUCAUUUUGAAACAGCUCUAUCAAAGGCUGUCUACAGAAUAAGGCCUGUCGAUUUCAAAAUUACUAUCAUAAAUGAAUACCAUGGCAGUCUGCUGCCAAAUUUUAAAAUUUCCUUUAGGUGUCUGUUUGCCAAAUCUAAAUACCAGCCUUUCAUCACCAUUUAAUUAAAAAAAUCUAGAAUAUGAAAAUUCAAUGAGAACUAUUUCUGCUUAUUUGUCUAUAUGAGUGCUUUUAUUUAUAUUUAAGAAAAAUAUUGCAAGUAUAAAUCACCCAAAAUACACAAUUUGUAUGAGGAUCACCUCCAAAAGGCACUGGCUGUGGAAAAAGUAGUCUCUUUCCCUUUUAUAUAUUAUGUGAUGCUAACGUUAAUUGUUCUUCAAUUAUAGCUGGACUAGCAAAGCAAGUGUGCUAAGGUAGGUAUGAGGAAAAGUGGAAUUUGGGAGACUUGUUAUACUCAGUUACGAUGGGUUUAAAUCUGGUUUAUAGUUGCUAUUAUAAUUAUUUUCUUUUUUUUUAAAUUUUAGCCCAUUGGUCAUAGAAAAGGAUUAUCUGGGAUUGUUUGGCUAACUCAGAGAAUUCAAGAGAAGGUUAGGAAGUUUAUUUUCCUCCAAGUACAUUAAUAAUAAAAUAACAAUGACUAAGGGCUUAGUUAUGAUUAUCUGUGCUUUCAGUCCCAUUUCUCUUUUGGAUGAAUGUGAAGCAAAGUUAAAGUAGAAAGCCAAGAAAAGAGCUAACCUCUAUCUAGCUCAGAUCCUAAUUUUUUUUUUUAAAAUUCAAGUCAUUUAUUUGCUCCAGUUAGCUGAAUUAUAUACUGUGCUACAGACCUUAUACUCUGACUUCUGGGCUUGGUUCUGUGAGCCUGGGAGGCUGAAUAGAAAUUAGUAAGUUUGGCGUUUUGGGGGACAAAUGAUACAGAGAUUCAAAAUGCACAUCCUAAAUACCGUCUUGGUCAGGUCACUUCACCUCCCUUAGUCUCAGUUUUCUCAUUAGUAAAAUAGGAAAAUAAUACUUCCCUGUAGGGGGUGCUUAGUGUAAAGAUUAAAGUUGAUUUAUAUGAAAUGCAUGAUGCUUGGCAAUGUCAAUGUUUAAAAAAUGUUCGUUGUAAUAAUUCAUGUAAGUAACAGUAAGCUAUAAGUAUAGCCUGUAUUAUUUGUAGAUGUUGGCUGUAAUAAUUAUCAUUGUUCAAAUCAAAGCCAAUUCCUAGUUCUUAGCCUUAUGGUAGGACAUUUUUCUCUGCUACUGUAAUAGUGUUGGAACCAUAAACCUUCCUUUUAAUUAUAUGUUAUGCAAGUGGAACAAUUAGUAAUGGCUUUAUAAAGAUUACAAAUCUACUUAUAAAAUAAAUCAACCACAUAGGAAUACCUUCAUUAUCCAUUUUCUUACACUGGGACCUAAUUACUUUUAAGGCUCCUAAUAUAAUUUCAGCUCUAUGAAAACCAACUAACAACUUCUAAUAAUGCAUUUGAUUCACAGUUGUUGAUUUGCAUUACCAUGAAUAGUUAAUAAAUAGAACAGAAAGCUUUCUCUUCUUAGGACUUAUUAGUCUCCUUGAUUCAUAAUUAUUAAUGGUCCAUAGAAUACAAUGUAUAGUUUAAUUACAAGAUGUCAUAAUCACAGUCCUAAGAUCUUAUGAUAAAGAUAAUAAAGGAAACUGCAAGACUGAUUCCACUGAAUUGCAUAAUGCUACCAUGAAAGCUCCACAAAGGUAGGGAUCUCUGUUUUGUUAACUUCUGUAGUCCCAGGGCUUAAAACAAUUACUGGCAUGGAAUAAGCAUUGAAUAAAUAUUUGUUGAAUAACUGAGCUAGACUAAUUAUGAUAUCAAGAAGCAGGGUUUUUUUAAAUAAAUAUUUUAUGUUUAAGUUUUGUGUCUGAAAGCCACGCCAGAUAAUACAUAAACUUGAUAUUAACACUUAAAGAAUCAUAAAAUGCACCUUUGUGACUAAUUCAAAAAACUCCUAGAUCUGAUGAAUGAAUUCGGUAAAGUCUCAGGAUAGAAAAUCAAUGUGCACAAAUCAGUAGCACUGCUUUACACCAACAAUGACCAAGCUGAGAUUCAAAUAGAAAACUCAAUCCCUUUUACAACAGCUGCAAAAACAUAAAAUAAAAUACCUAGGAAUAUACUUAACUAAGGAGGUGAAAUAUCUCUCUGCAAGGAAAACUACAAAACACUGCUGAAAGAAAUCAUAGAUGACCCAAACAAAUGGAAACACAUCUCAUGCUCAUGAACGGGAAGAAUCAAUACUGUGAAAAUGACCAUGCUGCCCCAAAGUAAUCUAUACAUUCAGUGCAAUUCCCAUCAAAAUACUAUCAUCAUUCUUCACAGAACCAGAAAAACAAUUCUAAAAUUUAUAUGGAACCCCAAAAGAGCCCGCAUAACCAAAGCAAUACCAAGCAAAAAGAACAAAUCUGGAGGCAUCACAUUACCCAACUUCAAAUUAUGCUACAAGUUACCAAAACAGCCUGGUACUGGCAUGAAAAUAGGCAUGUAGACCAAUGGAACAGAAUAGUGAACCCAGAAAUAAAGCCAUAUAUGUACAGCCAACUGAUCUUCAACAAAGCAUAAAAAACAUAAAUUGGGGAAAGGACAUCCUAUUCAAUAAAUGGUGCUGGAAAAACCGGCAAGCCACACGUAGAAGAAUGAAACUGUAUCCCCAUCCCUCACCUUAUACAAAAAUCAACUCAAAAUGGAUCAAAGACUAAAAUCUAAGUACUGAAACCAUAAAAAUUCUAGAGGAAGACAUUGAAAAAACUCUUCUAGACAUUGGCUUAGGCAAAGAAUUCAUGACUAAGAUCCCAAAAGAAAAUGCAACAAAAACAAAAAUAAAUAAAUGGAAUCUAAUUAAACUAAAAAAACUUCUGCACAGCAAAAGAAAUAAUCAGCAGAGUAAAAAGACAACCUACAGAGUGGGAGUAUAUAUUCACAAACUAUGCAACUGACAAAGGACUAAUAUCCAGAAUCUACAAGGAACUCAAACAAAUCAGCAGGAAAAAAAAUAAUCCCACGAAAAAGUGAGCAGAGGAUAUGAAUAGAUGAUUCUCAAAAGAAGAUAUACAAAUGGCCAACAAGUAUAUGGAAAAAUGCUCAACACUAGGGAAAUGCAACUUAAAACACAAUGCGAUACCACCUUACUGCUGCAAGAAUGGUGAUAAUUUAAAAAUCAAAAGACAAUAGAUGUUGGCAUGGAUGUGGUGAAAAGGGAACAGUUUUACAUUGCUGGUGGGAAUGUAAAUUAGUACAACCACUAUUGAAAAAAUAUGGAGAUUCCUUAAAGAACUAAGUGUAGAACUACCAUUGGAUCCAGCAAUCCCAUUAUUGGGUAUCUACCUAAGGAAAAGAAGUCAUUAUAUGAAAAAGACAGAUACACGUGCAUAUUUAUAGCAGCACAAUAGGCAAUUGCAAAGAUAUGAAACCAACAUAAGUGCCCAUCAACCAAUGAGUGGAUAAAGAAAAUGUGGUAUAUAUACACCAUGGAAUACUUCAGCCAUAUAAAGGAAUAAAAUAAUGUCUUUUGCAGCAACAUGGAUGGAGCUGGAUGCCAUUAUUCUAAGUGAAGUAAUUCAGGAAUGGAAACCCAAAUAUCGUAUAUUGUCACUUAUAAGUGGGAGCUAAGCAAUGAGGAUGCAAAGGCAUAGGAAUGAUACAAUAGGCUUUGGGGAUUUGGAGGGGUGGACCUUGGGAGGGAGGUGAGGGACAAAAGACUACCUAUUGGGUACAUUGUAUACUGCUCAGGUGACAGGUGCCCUAAAAUCUCAGAAAUCGCUACUAAAGAGCUUAUCCAUCCAUCACUUCACAGCCUUUUAGCUGAGAUCAAGUGUAGAAUUUAUCCAUCUAACUAAAAACCACCUGUACCCCAAAAACUAUUGAAAUGAAAAUAAAAAGUAAAAAAAAAUGCACCAUUGUGAACCAUUGUGAUAAAAAGGCAUUUUUUAAAAGUAUGACUUUAUCUACCUGAAAUAAAUUAUAGCAGCAUAGACUUUCUCAAGAGAAAUAAUAAAAUAUGAGUAAUUUUAAAGUAUUCAAUUUAAAUUUAUUUUGGCAUAUGCUCUCUCUCUCUAUAUGUAUAUAAAAUAUACAUGUAUAAGUAGUAUGUAUUUGUGUAAUGUGUAUAUGGAGAAUAUACAAUAUAUGAUAUGUAUCUACAUAUAGAUAUGUAUAUGUAUGUAUGUACAUCUGUUCUUACAUACACAUACAUAUUAAAUAGCUAUGCAUAUUAGCCAGCUACUUCACGGUGUGAAGAUAAUCUCUAAAUACGCAUUUAUUUGAAGUAAUUUAUCAUUGUGCCUGGUAUGUGGUAGAUGCUCAAUGAAUAUUUAUUGACUAAACGUAUCUGACUUAAUAAAAUGUUCUCCUAUAUGUGUGUAUG
rnacentral:lncRNA from 1 species